AAACUUUAAAUAAAGAGAUAACAUAAAAAUUAUAGCGUUAGUUUAAUAAUAAUUAAAUAAUAUAUUAGAUAUAAUAAUAGCAAAAUUUAAAUGUACCAAUCUGAUCUAUUGUUCAAAAUUUUCUUUCUACAAAUAAAUAAGAGUUUAUUAUAAUGUUUAAAUUUCUAUGUAUAUACAUUUUCACAUAAAAUAGUACCCUGAUCAUAAUGAAGUGGAUACUGUGAAACUUCUCUGUGACGAGCAUGCGGAAAUAUAUCUUCGGGAUUUUCGUGAAGCCAUUGGACAUUACCUAACGUUCCCUUGUUGGCUGAUCUGCACCCGAACCACCAAUAUGCCGUCGCUCUAGGGAAUGCUGGAUCAGCAACAUCCACCUACACAACGUUAACAUAGUUUAAUCAAAGGUAUUGUGCUUUUUUCAUUUUCAAUUACUUAUUUUAUUUAUGUGGAAUAUUUUCUCCAACGUAGAUCAUGUGAGAAGUUUCUGAAUAGAGAGGAAAUAUUUGAAUAUAAAGUUAUAGAAAUAUGAUUU